rnacentral:tRNA from 6 species
UAUGAAAAACCAUCGUUGUAAUUCAACUAUAAGAACUAAAUA